GACGAACGCUGGCGGCGUGCUUAACACAUGCAAGUCUAACGGAAAGGCCCCUUUGGGGGUACUCGAGUGGCGAACGGGUGAGUAACACGUGAGUAACCUGCCCUUGACUUCGGGAUAACUUCAGGAAACUGGGGCUAAUACCGGAUAGGAAUCCUUGCUGCAUGGUGGGGGUUGGAAAGCUUCGGCGGUUUUGGAUGGACUCGCGGCUUAUCAGCUUGUUGGUGGGGUAGUGGCUUACCAAGGCUUUGACGGGUAGCCGGCCUGUGAGGGCGACCGGCCACAUUGGGACCGAGAUACGGCCCAGACUGCUACGGGAGGCAGCAGGGGGGAAGAUUGCACGAUGGGCGGAAGCCUGAUGAAGCAACGCCGCGUGCGGGAUGACGGCCUUCGGGUUGUAAACCGCUUUCAGCAGGGGCGAAGCUUGUGGUGACGGUACCUGCAGAAGAAGCACCGGCUAACUACGUG
rnacentral:rRNA from 1 species